rnacentral:rRNA from 1 species
AUUGAACGCUGGCGGCAUGCUUUACACAUGCAAGUCGAACGGUAACAGGCCUUCGGGUGCUGACGAGUGGCGAACGGGUGAGUAAUGCAUCGGAACGUACCCAGAGGUGGGGGAUAACGCAGCGAAAGCUGUGCUAAUACCGCAUGUGAUCUGAGGAUGAAAGCGGGGGACCGAGCAGCAAUGUUUGGCCUCGCGCCUUUGGAGCGGCUGAUGUCGGAUUAGCUAGUUGGUGGGGUAAAGGCCUACCAAGGCGACGAUCCGUAGCUGGUCUGAGAGGACGACCAGCCACACUGGGACUGAGACACGGCCCAGACUCCUACGGGAGGCAGCAGUGGGGAAUUUUGGACAAUGGGCGCAAGCCUGAUCCAGCAAUGCCGCGUGCGGGAAGAAGGCCUUCGGGUUGUAAACCGCUUUUGGCAGGAACGAAACGGUGUCCGCUAAUACCGGGCGCUAAUGACGGUACCUGCAGAAUAAGCACCGGCUAACUACGUG